UUGUGUGAAUACCUGUUUGUGUGUAAGGUCUAUGUACGUGUGAAUACCUGUUUGUGUGUACGGUCUACAUACGUGUGAAUACCUGUUUGUGUGUAAGGUCUAUGUACGUGUGAAUACCUGUUUGUAAGGACUACAUACCUGUGAAUACCUGUUUGUGUGUAAGGUCUACAUACCUGUGAAUACCUGUUUGUGUGUAAGGUCUCUGUAUGUGUGAAUACCUGUUUGUGUGUAAGGUCUAUGUACGUGUGAAUACCUGUUUGUGUGUAAGGUCUACAUACCUGUGAAUACCUGUUUGUGUGUAAGGUCUAUGUACGUGUGAAUACCUGUUUGUAAGGACUACAUACCUGUGAAUACCUGUUUGUGUGUAAGGUCUAGAUGGUGGAAAAUUGUAACCUCGUCCAGAUGGUAAAUAUUCAGAGUAUUGUAGAAAAUGGAUUUUAAGAUUGCUGUCCUAUUGUUUAGAGAACAACAAUCUUAAAUGAGACUACAAUAUUAGUUAUCAGAAGAUGUAGAUCAGUGAGUGAAGGAUUUGAGAAUACCUGGUUGUUACCUGGUAAAGGGAUGGAAGCAAAGGAAAGAUCUGAGCAUAUCUGAUCGGUCUUCAAUGAAUAAGAAGCUAAAUUUCUUGUUUUUGUCUUUUUUUUUUUAAUUAGUAUGGUUAACUCCUUAACGUCCUUAAUAUAUUUAGCCAAACUCUCAGUCAAGGGAAGCAUAUUGACUUGUUUACAUAUUUUACAUAAUUUUUUAUAUCCUUUCCUUGAUUAGAAGCAUUGUCCCUCAACUGGUGCUGUUGAUACAUUUACCUUUUUAACAGUUCAUACCCCAGUCCUUAAUACUUCAACAGGAUUCACUUUUUAACACAGAAGUUCCUUUCUGAAUCAACACUAAUUUUGUUAACAUCUUUUCAAUGAUUUCAAAUUAUUGGCAUGUUUUAAACUUUUUUUUUUCAAGAAAAAUCUACUGGAAGUCAUCAAAGUGAGAGAAGAUUGUUUUAAUAAACACUUUGUUUCCUGAUGAAUUAUUUAGGUAAACCCUGUAAAACCCUGUUAACUAUCUUACAGAAAUCCUGAGAGUUAUAUUUGUUUUUUCAAAAAUAAAAUUAUGAAAAAAAAAAUGUCAUUUUUUCUACCGACCAGGGACCAUAUUCAUGAAACUGUACUCAUGCGCUAACUCAAGGUUUUGUGCUCAAAAAUAAAGUCUUGUAAUCACUGAUUUAGUUCUCAUGCUCAAGUCAUCUACAGGAAAAAUUCUUUGCUCAAGAUUUGAGCACAAUAUGAAGUUUCUUGAGUAGAGUAUUGCCCAUGCUCAGGGUAUUUUUCCUCAUCAUGACAGUGGGAUACUUUGGUGAUAGAGAGGUUAGAUCAAGCCAAGGCUGUGAGUAAUAAUGGAUCGCCAAAAGUCCUGGAGCACUUAUCAGAAGAAUUGCUCUGGCAUUUUAGAGUCUGACAGGUUUCCGAUACUGUAAUCUAUAUUAUUCAUUUAGUAGUAGGUCACACAUAGAAUGUUCAAAGCACAUCCAUCUAACACCUAGUGUUGGAGGUUCUCAUUACCUUUACAACCGGAGCUUUCCAGCAGCCGUAGACACCGUGAAAAUUUACUAGUCCACUGUCAGCUACAUGUAGCUAGGGAGUGGCCAUGAUCCUCACAAGAUUAUUUAAUAAGUUUAUUUCCCAAAAGCAGAUACAGGAUAAGAGCUAAGCAAGAGUAGGAGUAGUAGCCAGAUAAACCUAGGCACACAUCUGAGCAUGAGUUUGAGCUUGAGUUUGAGUACAGUUUCAUGAAUACGGGCCCCAAUUUUAUUUAUUUUUUUCUCUAUCUUUCAAAUACAGAUUUUUAGAUAUUGUGCAAUAUUAUUUUUUGUUGGCAAUUAAUGAAAUAAAUUCAAAAAGGUAUUACCGGUAUGUAAUAUUAGGUUAAUUGUGUUCUGGUAGCUUUAUAUGUACAAAGUAUUCGUAAUGAUUUUAAGAAACAAAAUGUCUCAGUGAAAAUACUUGUUAAAAAAUUGAUAUUGCUUCAUUUGAUUACAUUAUGUGUUAUUCUAAUAUUUUCCAUCAAGUAGAGAAGUUCAAGUGACAUAAAUCUUUCAUGGGUAGUGUAGAAGCCCCACUUAAAGGUAUGCAUUUUAUAAUGUUCAUUUCUACACCAAAUAAUUACAGAUCAAGGAAGAAAAGAUCAUAACGAAACUGGUUUGAGAUUUGUAUGAAGCCAUACAUUUUUAUCGAGAUCUGUUUUCUUUUCUGGAUAAGUUGGUCAUAACUUAACCUCAAUAUCUAUGAAUAUUUUGCCCCAUUUGUACCAAGAAAUAGCAUAUUUAGUUCAUAAUGUUACAGUGUACUGACAAACAUACUGAGAAUAAAUUGUUUUGGUUGUGAUAACACUAUCAUAUUGGACAUGUGUCAUGAUAGAGUCAUUAUGGUUUUGACCUGCUUUGUAGGGUUAUAUUUAUUGUGUACCAGUAUUGGUAAUUCCUUAGGAAGAAAUCUGGGACAUGAGAAAUGUUUACCGCAGUAGAUAUACUGUAACUCGGUAUGGUUAUAUCAUAAAGGUAAUAUAAAUAUCACUAUUACACCCUCAUCCAAGUACACUUACUGAACACUCUAAUCCAACCCAGCUUCAUUAGUGUUUGUACACUCAGUGAACACCCCAGCUCCAUUUGUACACUGACUAACACAUUUGACAUGUUACCAUGGAAACCCAUAUUAUCUGUUUGAAACAAAUACAGUACUACUGGUUAUACAGUUUCUUUCCUUUGAGUAAAAUUUUAAACUUGGACCCCAAAUAUUAUCUGGUACUGUAUGGUUUUCUGUUUCACAAAUUGUUAUUUCAUUGUGUUUUGUUGAAAUAAUAUCAAGUCAUUAAUUGAUCAUUAAUAUUGUAUCAAUAUUGUAUAGCAACAUUUGUAUUGUACCAUAUCAUGGUGAUUAUUAGAUUGUUUAAAAGUGUCUUAUAAAGUCUAUUAUUGUUAUUAGAUACAUGUUAUGUCUACAGUAAAAGUCCACAGUUACAGUAUACAUCCCCACAGAGGGGAUGAUACCACUGGAUUUUUAUGUGUUUAAUGUAGACUAUUGAAUUAUUACAUAUAUACAUAUAUUACUCUAAUUUCCUGGGUAUAACCUGCUCUGGCGGAUAGCUUUGAGAAGCAAAAUGUAACAUUCUUAAGCAUUUAGUUCAAAUCUUUCAAGAUCACCUGCUGCAGCAGAUCACCCACAGGAAAUACUUUGAAUUUACAUCUACAAAAGACAAUAUAGAUAUUUUUUGGUGAUCAUUAUUCAAGUCCAAAGUUACUUUUAUUCAUAUUUUACUAUAUUUCGUAUACAUUAUGCUGUAACUAAAGAGGUAAAAAUGUGUAAUACAAAUGUGUUUUAUUUAAGUACAUCUAGAACUUGUACGAUCACUAAAAUAAAAAAAUAAACACAUAGUCUGCAUUUGAUUCCAUUAAAAGAAAACACAGAUAGCCCACAAAAUUCAUCUUCAUAUUUAAAAAGUAAGACAGGUAUAUGCAGGAGAUUAAGGUCAUCUCUGGAUAUCUUAACUUAUAUGGUAAGUUACACUGAACAAUCACAUAUACAUAAUGUACAUCAUCACAUAGACAUUAUAUAUAUAUAUCUUAUGUGUUUAGUAUUGAGUGUUUAAUAUAUUAUACGACAUACCCUGAUAUAGAAUUCUACCUCGAGAGUAAGGUUUUCCAUUGAAAUGUUCAUAAAUGUAUCCUGUUGGUGAUUGUGAACAUUUAAGGUGAUUACUAGUUCUAUCUAAGUCAAAAACCGUUGCAACCCAAAAUUCCCAAAACUUUGUGCACUAUUUUAAUAUUUCUGCAUAAAAAAUCACUGAUAGAAAAUACUGAUUUCUCACACAUUUUGCCUAUUUUCAUGUCUGUGAUACAUUUUGCAUAAUUCGUAUUGUAAAAUGAUAACAAAUCAAACAAUCAAUUUGAAUCUCACUUAAAUUGUGGGAUAUUUUGCCUCAGAGUUAGCAGUAGGUAUUAGAUUUCAUUACAGGAGAAUGAUUUCCUCAAGCACUAGGUAUUAGAUUUCAUUACAGGAGAAUGAUUUCCUCAAGCACUAGGUAUUAGAUUUCAUUACAGUAGAAUGAUUUCCUCAAGUAGUUGGUGUGUGCAACGUGCUGUAAAUAAAAUUUAGCUUGACAAGGGGCAUAACUCCGACAGCCUUCAGUUUUCAUUUAAUAUCGUAAUAAUUAUGUAGAUGUGGUGUUUCAACAUUGUUUUACACUAAAUUUUUAAUCUUGUAAACAUUUCCACUCAACAUUCCAACCCUCCCACUCCAUCCCCAGGUUAAUUAAGAUCUCUGCUGGUGAUUCUCCUUACCCAGUUCUGACUCUGUCAAUAUAGACUGAUAUGUAGAAUUAUUGUAACAAUGUAAAUACAGACUUUUACCAUAGUAAGAACAACUUAUUUCUGAUAAAUAAUAUGGACUAAGUGGUUACAAAUAAAUAAUACAUGUAUAAUAGUAUGAUGGAUAGGCACUUUUGUCCAAUGGAUCUCUGUACAGGUCGAAUAGUUUUAGUCUAAUAUUCCUUGUACCCUGGUACAGUAUGUUCAUAGAUCCAAUAUUAAACAUGGGAUAGAUUUGGAAAUACUUGCUAGCUCCAAAUAUAAAGUCUUCACUUUGAUCUCGACUUUGUAUUUAUUGACCAAGUUGUCUUUAGACUGGCUUUUAAUUGAUGUUGAAUGUUAGUGAAGAUAUUGUAUUAUAUUAGGAACAUGUAAGUUAGAUAAUUUAAAUUAUGCUUUAAGUACAAUUCAUUUUUAUCUGUUUAAGUUUUAAGAACCAUAUAUACACUGUAGCUUUUCUCUCUACGUCAUCAAAGAUAUUCACUUUUCUAUGACAGAGGGAGGAUGUUACCAGGAUGUAAGGGAAAUGGCUGUUCUACAUAAUAAACUACAUUUUUGGUAGUGCUUUCAUAUCAAUGCUUCCUGCACAUUUCAUAAUAUUUUGAUAUACAUUGGUGUGAAGCUUAAUGUUGUGUUCACAAGUAAUUUUAGAAAUAUAUAGAUAAUUUUAUAGACUGAAAACGAAUGAUGCAAUAUCAAUGAAUAUUUUUAUGGUUAUUUUAUUUAAUAAAACAAUAUUCACUUAUA